rnacentral:rRNA from 1 species
GCUACAAUGCAAGUCGAACGGUAACAUUUCUAGCUUGCUGGAGAAUGACUAACGACGGAUGGGUAAGUAAGGAUAGGUAACAUGCUUUAAGGUGGGGGACAACCAUUGGAAACCAUAGCCAAUACCGCAAAAUGUCUACGGACCAAAGGGGGCUUCCGGUCUCCCCCUUAGAUGGGCCCAAGUGGGAUUAACUUGUUGGUGGGGUAAGGGCCCACCAAGGCAACAAACCCUAACCGGUUUAAAAAGAAGAACAGCCCCCCUGGACAUGAAAACCGGUCCCAACUCCAACGGGAGGAAGCUGUGGGGAAUAUUGCACAAUGGGCGCAACCCUGAUACACCCAUUCCGCGCGUGAGAAGAAGGCCUUCGGGUUCUAA